rnacentral:rRNA from 1 species
GAUGAACGCUGGCGGCGUGCCUAAUACAUGCAAGUCGAGCGAACAGACGAGGCGCUUGCUCCUCUGACGUUAGCCGCGGACGGGUGAGUAACACGUGUAUAACCUACCUAUCAGACUGGGAUAACUUCGGGAAACCGGCGCUAAUACCGGAUAAUAUAUUGAACCGCAUGGUUCAAUAGUGAAAGACGGUUUUGCUGUCACUUCUAGAUGGAUCGGGGCCGCAUUAGCUAGUUGGUAAGGUAACGGCUUACCAAGGCAACGAUGCGUAGACGACCUGAGAGGGGGGUCGCCCACACGGGAACGGAGACACGGUCCAGACUACUAAGGGAGGCAGCAGUAGGGAAUGGGCGGCAGAGGGCGAAAGCAUGACGGAGCAACGCCGCGUGAGUGAUGAAGGUGUUCGGAUCGGAAAGCUCGGUUAUUAGGGAAGAACAAAUGUGUAAGUAGCUGUGCACGGCUUGACGGUACCUAGUCAGAAAGCCCCGGCUAACUACGUG